CCUACGGGCGGCAGCAGUGAGGAAUAUUGGUCAAUGGACGAGAGUCUGAACCAGCCAAGUAGCGUGAAGGAUGACUGCCCUAUGGGUUGUAAACUUCUUUUAUAUGGGAAUAAAAUGUUCCACGUGUGGGAUUUUGUAUGUACCAUAUGAAUAAGGAUCGGCUAACUCCGUGCCAGCAGCCGCGGUAAUACGGAGGAUCCGAGCGUUAUCCGGAUUUAUUGGGUUUAAAGGGGGCGUAGGUGGAUUGUUAAGUCAGUUGUGAAAGUUUGCGGCUCAACCGUAAAAUUGCAGUUGAAACUGGCAGUCUUGAGUACAGGAGAGGUGGGCGGAAUUCGUGGUGUAGCGGUGAAAUGCUUAGAUAUCACGAAGAACUCCGAUUGCGGAGGCAGUUCACUGGACUGCAACUGACACUGAGGCUCGAAAGUGUGGGUAUCAAACAGGAUUAGAUACCCCAGUAGUC
rnacentral:rRNA from 1 species